rnacentral:rRNA from 1 species
UACUCCAGUGCCUGGGGUAAGACCAAUCUUUUUCUUGACUCUAAAACGGUCUUGGAAAAGAGUGGGGUAGGGACGGUGCCAGCCGCCGCGGUAAUACCGGCGCCUCAAGUGGUCAUCAUGAUUUUUGGGCCUAAAACAUCCGUAGCCGGUUCGAUAAAUUUUGGGUUAAAUCAACACGCUUAACGGGUUGAAUUCUGGGAGGACGGCCAAACUUGGGACCGGGAGAGGUGUGGGGUACUCUCAGGGAAGGGGGAAAAAUCCUGUCAUCCUGAGUGGACCACUGGUUGCGAAGGCGGCCACACUAAAACGGAUCCGACGGUCAGGGACGAAACCUGGGGGCACAAACCGGAUUAAAUACCCGGGUAGUCCUAGGGGUAAACGCUGUGACUUUGUUGUGGGGGGUCCUCCGAGCACUCCCGGGGUCGAAGCAAGGCGUUAAUUUCCCUGCCUGGGAAUUCCGGCCCAAGGUUAAACUUAAAGGAAU